AACGCACAUUGCGCCCCUUGGUAUUCCAUGGGGCAUGCCUGUUCGAGCGUCAUUUGUACCUCCAAGCUCUGCUUGGCGAUGGGUGUUUGUCCACCACUUGGACUCGCCUCAAAUACAUUGGCAGCCUGUAAUCGGGUGAUAGAGCGCAGCACAUUUGCGAGCUUCUCACUAUAACAGGCGUCCACAAGCCUACCAUCUCACGGUUGACCUCGGAUCAGGUAGGGAUACCCGCUGAACUUAA
rnacentral:misc_RNA from 1 species